AGCAAGCCAGCCAGAGAGCCAGCAAACCACCAACCACUAGAGAGCCCCAGCCAACCAGCUAGCCAAGCACUGACCAACCACGAGCCAGCUACUAGCCACCAACCAUUAACCAACUUGGGAGAAGGGGGUGAACUGGGAUCAGAGCUCUAAUUUCUGAGGAGGUGGGGGAGAGGGGGACGCCAGCCCUGUGGCAGCCUCAGAUCUCUGCACAGGCCCUCUCUCCCUCCUGCGUCCCAGCACCAGGGUUCCUCCCCGACUCCUGCCAUGGCAUUCAGAGUGCUUCUCAUAGUGCAUGCACCCACCUUGGCUCCUGACCUGACACUGAGGGCUCACGCCUCUCAUCGGCAACCCAAGCAAGCGGGAACACUCCGCUUCUCCCUCAGCCCCCACGGGCCUCAUCCACAGCCAGCACAGCUCAGGAUUUCCUGCUUCACCCAUCGGCGGCCUCUAUCAGCGUGAGUGGUGCCUGGAGCUUGGCACAGGAGCUGCUCUGGUCCCCUGCCCACAUCACCUCCUUCGCUUCCUGGCCUGACUGGUUCACCUCGAUGCCACUACUCCUUGAUGCAGGUGGGUGGCACACAGGAAAAAGGGGGGAGAAGGAGGCAAGAGCAGCUGGCACUCCCCUGCUCCUCCACUGAAGCAUGGGGCUGCCAUCUUGGUCCCCUUCUGCUCUUUCCUGCUCCCCAGAGUUGCCAACUGCUGAGGAAGAAUUUCACAAACACUGGGAAAAGAAUUUCUGGCUGUCAAAUUGAUCUAAUGGCAUAAUUUCACAUAAUAAAAUAUGGUUCAGAAAAACCUAAAAAA